CAGCAGCCGCGGUAAUACCGGCGGCCCGAGUGGCGGUCACUAUUAUUGGGCUUAAAGCGUCCGUAGCCGGGUUGGGAAGUCCUCCGGGAAAUCUGGCCGCUUAACGGUCAGAAUGCCGGAGGAUACUCCCAGCCUAGGGGGCGGGAGAGGCCGAGGGGAUUCCCGGGGUAGGGGGGAAAUCCUAUAAUCCCGGGAGGACCACCUGUGGCGAAGGCGCUCGGCUGGAACGCGUCCGACGGUGAGGGACGAAGGCCAGGGGAGCAAACCGGAUUAGAUACCCGGGUAGUCCUGGCUGUAAACGAUGCGGACUUUGUGUCGGACAAGCUAUGAGCUUGUCCGGUGCCGGAGGGAAACCGUUAAGUCCGCCGCCUGGGGAGUACGGCCGCAAGGCUGAAACUUAAAGGAAUUGGCGGG
rnacentral:rRNA from 1 species